AGAUAAGUCGAGGGCUGUGGUCACAGAGGGGAUCAAAGCAGGGUAGUGGGUUAGGAUUCACACCGGUUAGGGUUUUGAGUCAGCUACGGGAAGGGGGAGGUUUGAGAACUGGCCUCUGGGGCCACCGUGAGGGAAAGGCUCACUUUGGCUAACAAUGCUGAGGCGGGCAGGGCAGAGCAGUCCCAAGGUGUGUUGUCACUUGUCUGUCGUGCUUUCUGUGUCUUCCGUUCAUCUCGUGUAACAUGUCUCUUGCCUUAGUCCUCCCAGGAGCUUAUGAGAAACCCCAGGUCCUUCCGGUCAUCUCCCAUCUUUCGUUCCUCGGCCCGGGGCCGACGCCGGCGAAGUUUCGAUUCGGGAGGUCAGACAGGCGUCAGAAUCGCAUCUCUCUUCAGAAGCAUCCGAUCGGAUGUCUUCUUAGGUCUUGUUCUCAGCUGUGUUGACAGCUGUAUGCAGUAAUCUUUCUUUACAGUGGAUAAGGACUUGUGCCGAUUCAAAGGCAGGCAGAGGCUUCCGGCCAUAGGAUUCUCAGGCAUCCGUGUCCGCGGUUCUCGGAAUAAGUCGUUCCGUUAGCAUCUUUUUCCUCCGGGGUCAUCCGAGCCCGGCGGGCUCGCCUUCGGUCCCCCCUCGGUCAUCUUGUUCAGCAUUCUCUCGGUCCUCUUGAGGACUUUCUCGUCUCAGAGUUUUCUCUCCCUGUCGUGUCCCCUCGUGUCACGGGUGUCUGGGGGUAUUCGGUCCGGAACUGCUCUGCCCUGCCGCCCGGCCCCAUUGCAGGUGUUCAAGGACAAGUCCCGGGUACUUGUAAUUGGAGACUUUUAAUACGGGCUGUAGUUGGAGUCGAGGUAGUAUUCUUAUGUUGGCAGAAGGUGUCUGGAGCUGUGAAGUUACCCUGCAGCACUUUGACUUUUUUCCUAACUUUCUUUCAGAUGCGGAUGGUUCGACCUCCCGGCAGAGCGCCCCGUCCCAGAUGAGGCGAUCCCCCUGAGAAGGAAGCAAAGCCGGAUAGCAGCAGCGAAGGCGAAGCAUUGUGAAGGCUGCCUCCUGAUGUUGUGCUGAGGCCCCCUCACUGACCUGCCAAGAGACCCGGUUUGCUUCUCCGGUGAGUCCCAGCAAAUGUUACCGGAGUCCGUGACGAAGCCUCGACCUCGUCCACGUGAAGGUGCGGUCCGGGUAGCCUUUAGCCACGGCCGAGGAGUCGCGGCGAGUCGGGGGCGUCGGGAGGAGCGGCGACGGCGCGCUCAA